ensembl:lncRNA
AGUUCAGAAAAUGGUCAGUGUGUGGUGUGGAUGGAUAAAUCUACAGUUUUACAGUGAUUCUCCAACCCCACACCCGUGAUCAUAGUCAAACGGGAUUCCCCCAAAAUGGAGGCAACGCGGCAAUGCGUAAUACUAGACAGGAGACGCACGCACACAUUUCCCUCUCAACCCUCCCUCAUUUUCACUUUGCCUCGUCUAGCAAGCAAGUUAACGAUAGCCCGCUUCACGCUUCCCAUCGCUUGCUUUAGUCGCUAUUGUAGCAUUUCAUGCCUUAGGUUCAAUGCUUGUAUGCAUAACCAGUCCUGUUAAAGAAAUAUUAUGAAAAGUUUAGUUUGUAUGCUUAGGCGCCAGUGUACAUUCAUCCACUCGCGUGACGUGUCGAAAAUAGUAAAUGAUUUCUCGUGCUUGUAGGAGAGAAUGACUUAAGAAUACGUCCGGGAAGCCGAUUAUUUAUCACAAAGUCUGAUGAAACAGCUGUCUGGUCAGUGCAUGCCUUUGUUCUCUUGUCUGAAGGUGGGUGUAUUAAUUCACUUUCCAUUCCCUUCUCUCUCUCUCUCUCUGUCUCUCUCUCUCUCUCCUCCCUCACUCUCUGUCUCUCUCCUCCCUCCCUCUCUCUCUCUCUCUCUCUCUCUCCUCCCUCACUGCAGUGCACUCCUCCUGGGCUGGCUCUCUGCACCCUCAUACGCACGAACCCCCCACCACUCCCUCCGUCUGUGUCUGUCGCCAUGAGAUACAAGCACUGAUCAUAUCUGCUCCGAUCACCCUUCUCUCUCUCUCUCUCUCUCUCUCUCUCUCUCUCUUUCUUUCUCUCUCUCUCUCUCUCUCUCUCUGUCUCUCUCUCUCUCUUUCUCUCUCUGUCUCUCUCUCUCUCUCUCUCUCUGUCUCUCUCUCUUUCUCUCUCUCUCUCUCUGUCUCUCUUUCUCUCUCUCUCUCUUCAUCUGCUCUUGCUCUUUUCUUGUUUAUAUUAAUUGAUAGGUGGCUAAGUGCUAUUUGACCUCCCUGCUCUUUUCCCUGGCAUUGCUUAAAACCUUAGUGUUUAAAGGGUGGUGGGCAAUCUGAUGGGUCAUUGUGUUUAGAGGGUAGUGGGCAAUCUGAUGGGUCAUUGUGUUUUCAGUUUGUAAUUUGUGGUCAGCAUCGAGUCAUGCUGUGCUCACAUUCGUUAGGCUGCAUGUCUGAUGUCAGACUCAUGACAUACAUGUUUACAAAGAC